UUUAAUUGAAGAGUUUGAUCAUGGCUCAGAUUGAACGCUGGCGGCAGGCCUAACACAUGCAAGUCGAGCGGUAACAGAUUGAUAG
rnacentral:rRNA from 1 species